rfam:Populus trichocarpa isolate Nisqually-1 chromosome 1, whole genome shotgun sequence.
GUCUUGGUGGUGAAAUGAUAGACACACGAGACUCAAAAUCUCGUGCUAAAGAGCGUGGAGGUUCGAGUCCUCCAUAAUAUU